rnacentral:rRNA from 1 species
UAAAGCUCCAUUAUCCCCCGCUCCCAAUACCUCAAAUGAUCCAGAACCCUUCCUCACUAAUAAGUACUUCUAUAAUCCUAUAGAACAUUUUAUGUUAAAACUAGUAACAAGAAGAAGAACUUCACUUAAAUGCAAGUGUAAGUCAGAAAGGACCUACCACUGACUUUUAUCAUACAUGCAAACAAAUUAAUAAAUUUUUCAAGAAAAACUUAAUUUUAACUAUGUUAAUCUAACACAAGAGCAUUUCAAGUACGAUUUAACGAAAAAGAAGGAACUCGGCAAAUAUUAACCUCGCCUGUUUACCAAAAACAUCGCCUCUUGACAAAAUAUAAGAGGUCCAGCCUGCCCAGUGACUUUGUUCAACGGCCGCGGUAUC